rnacentral:rRNA from 1 species
AGCUCCAAUAGCGUAUAUUAAAGUUGUUGCAGUUAAAAAGCUCGUAGUUGGAUUUCUGGUUCAGAGAGCUUAGCCCGUGACCAAUUUUAGGUUCAUGAGUGCUGAGGCCUUCGUACCAUCCUUUCGGUGAUGUUCCAGGCCCCCUUGAUUGGGCGGUUUGGGCGUUCCGGAUCUUUUACUUUGAAAAAAUUAGAGUGUUUAAAGCAAGCAGUGUGUUGAAUACAUUAGCAUGGAAUAAUAAUCUAGGACUUUGGUUCUAUUUUGUUGGUUUCUAGCGCCAAAGUAAUGAUUGAUAGGGAUAGUUGGGGGUGCUAGUAUUUACCGGCCAGAGGUGAAAUUCUUGGAUUCGGUAAAGACUAACUUAUGCGAAAGCAUUCACCAAGGAUGUCUUCUUUAAUCA